rnacentral:lncRNA from 1 species
AUGCCUCCUCUUCCCUCCCUCAGGGUCGGCCGAACGAGAGCGUUUUCCCCUCAGCUUUUCCCUGAGGUAAAUCCCAGCCAUUUACCUGGACAGGGAGCAGCGCUGCCCAGAGCCUCCAAGCUUCCAGGCCAAAGAAACCCGACAAGCCAGCCUCACCCAAGGCUGCUUGGCUUGCCGCCGUCCUCGCUUUGGCUCAGGGAAAGAAAGCUCCCCUCCCCGGCUGGUCUACACCCGCUGCGCCUGAAACUCGCCUGCUUCCCCUCAGAGCCAGGCUCUGGAGGCCGCCAUCUUCGCUCGGGCAGGGAAGCCGCCCUCCCUCCCGUACGCAGGCGCAGUCGCCGCUUCCCAGCGUGUCACGCGACGCGUUCAGCUGAUGCUCCCUUCCCUCCGUUGCCCGGAGUUCGGAACAUGCGCAGAAGGAAGAGCCGGCAAGGAAGGAAGUAAGAAUUACAUUCUGGUGAAAAAGGAGAGUGUUCUGAUAUGAGACAGGGUGGAAGCCACGCAGUUCUUCAAAUGCAACCAGACUGCAACUCCCAGUAUCCCUCACCAUCAACUAUGCUGACUAGGGCUAAUGAGAUAUCUAGAUGUCCAGAUGAUUCUCCCAACAUAACAACAUGUAAGCAAAUACAAUUGAUGACAGACUUCAAUUUGAACACAGGGAUUUUCCUCCCUCCUGUACAUCCUGAAAGCCAUGAGUGAGGUGAGGCUUUAAGCUGGUAUUGAACAUUUUUUUUCUUGACCUCACCCUUCUAUUUCUGCAGUCAUUGCUAACUGUUGCUGUAGAUUUCCUUCUUUUCAAAACAACUAUACAAAGCUAUGAAUACAGGAUGUGACAGAGGCUCUGAAUGCUGACUCAGCAGACAGAUACCAGAUUCUUCUGAACAGGAAGCAUACAAUAGGAAAGCACAGGCUCUGCUGAUUAGAUGCAAAACAAAUUGAAACCAGAGGUUGCCAAAAGUUCCAAGUUCAAGUGAAAUGGUCACGUGUGUGAUUGUUUCCUCUGAUAUUCUAGCAACCAAUGCACCAGAAGUCAUAGCUGUUAGCUUACUGCUUGUGCCAGCUGCACAACUUGCAGAAGCUGGCACACUUUUCACCAUAAGUCAUAGGCAGUUUACAGAUGAGACAAAGCUUAUUCAAAUACCGUAUAUACUCGAAGAUAAGCCGAGUUAUUCAGCCCUUAUUUAUGAGCUGAAAAAGCCUCCCCCGGCUUAUAAUCAGUCAAGGCCAGCAACAGAGCCUGCAGGCUAUUGCUUGCAAUAUGUGAUCUAUUUCUCUCUUCUUCCUUAUCAGUGUGUUUAAUUUUGCAAAGUCUCCCUCGCUCUUAAUCAAGGGAAUGUUUUGAAAAGAGAAAGACACCCUUGCAAGUCAGGAAGAAGAUAUAUAUAUAUAUAUAUAUAUAUAUAUAUAUAUAUAUAUAUAUAUAAAUUAAUCUUAUGAAAGCAUUUUCCCCUGAAAUAUUUGUUAAACUCUCCUACAAAUAUAUAGGCAUUAACCCCUUGCAAGCUUUUGCAAUCUCUAUGUACCUUUAUA